UUUCUCCUUGGGAACACAGGUAGAAGCAGUUGUCUGUUGCCCAUGGCUACAACAGAAACAGCAGAAGUCCCUAUGCAGGGUGGGACUGUCAUGACCCAGGAGGAUAUGGUGACAGACACAGCACCAGCCAGGAGCUGUUAACUCUCUAGUCUCACUCCUGGGUCAGCAGCCAGCUGCCAGCCAUUCAGUUAGUCCCGUGAUGUCUGCUGUUGCCUCUGCCUACAGUUCAGGGAUGAGCCAACUGCCCUUCUCGGUUCAGAACCCCUGUACUCCCAGGACCAAGGAAGAAGCAGCACCAAAGAGCAAGGGCAGGAAGAUGCUGCAGCUCAUGGACCACAGGAAGAGCCACCCCAUCUUCCUCAGCGUCUGGAGGCAUCCGCAGGCACAGGCAGUGAGCUGAACUUCCGUGCUCAGGAGGAGUCCAGAAGAUUGGUGCAAGGGAUGCAAAAGAGCCACAGCUGGCGGCCUGCUGAAGACUCCCUGAGAGGAUGCUUGGAGUCUGCAGACCCGGAAAGCCCCAGGGAUCCCCAUGGACCGAUCCAUCCCGGUGAACACGUUUGACUGUCCCCAGAGAAUGGGCAUCCUCCGCCAUCCCUGGAUGAUGGGACUCCGGCCCUGUCUGGCUCUCUGCCACUCAUCCGUCACCUACUCAAGGACCCUGCGACUCUGCAGGUGGCCUGCUGCACAAGACUCUGUGCUGUUUGGAUGGAGGUAAAUCUCUUCAGUUUCCUCAUCUGCAAAAGGAGUUACUUGCCCUCAAAGAUGCUGUGAGUCCUGCCACUGCUCACUCCUUCUGUGUCUAUGGCAAGGGCUGCAGGACGCCAAUGUCUCUGCUCUUUGGGGGCAGGAGAUUUGUGCUGCGUCAGCACAGAGAAGUCUACAGGACGCAGGGGGCCAGCCUCUUUGGGGUCAGCCCACCCGCACAAGGUCCCAGCGCUGCCAUUCAGCACCACAGAAGCCUGGAAACUCAGGCACUGCUGGCCACACGAGCCAAUGCGAAGACACUCCCAACCCGGGGUGUUCUCAGGCCCUGCGACCCCACUAAGGGCCCCCAACAGGGAAGCAGCGUGCUUGGCCUUGAGGACAGAAGCAGACGCAGAAGCACCAGGCAGUUGUUCCCUGCAGCGGCUGAGGGCUACCGCAGGAAUUGGAGUCAGCCGCGCUUGCAAAAAACUUUAAAGGAAGAAUUGUGAUAAUUCAUUCUCUCCACGUUUGCUUCUCUACUGAAAUUGUUGGAGAGCUGGAGUUGUUGGGAUCAGAGCUGAGGACAAAGGAGGGGGACAAAAGACAGAAGGGCCUGGGGAGCCCGUCAGCUGCUUAGCAGAUCAAUGGCAGAGCAAGAGCUGGGCUGCUGGGCGGGGACCUUGCUCCACUCCGAGAGCCGCAGCCUGCUCCAUGGAGGCUCUGUGCUCCCUCAGAUCUAGCCCCUGCGACCCCAUCCUGCUGCAAAAAGUUUAUGCAUGAACCCAGGGCCAUGGUAAUGUGGUUCUGUCCUGAGUGUGUGAACCCGCCUGCCUCUUUCCCUUUGCCUCUUGCUGAUGUUUCAAAUGCAUUUAACAGGCUGUGUUAUUGCAGCACCUUAGUUUGUGAUCUCAGGGAAAACUGGACCCAACUCCUCUUAGACUGCCUCUGUGGCCAGGUCCCCAUGCAAUAAAUGUGAUGAACGAAUGGCAUGGAACCUGGCAAACGUGAAAUGAAUGCAGAGCAUUUGCAGGAGAAGGGACAGCACUGGCAAAGGCCCUGAGACAUUUUCCUCCUCUGAAGGGAA
rnacentral:lncRNA from 1 species